UUGACCUCGGAUCAGGUAGGGAUACCCGCUGAACUUAAGCAUAUCAAUAAGCGGAGGAAAAGAAACCAACAGGGAUUGCCCCAGUAACGGCGAGUGAAGCGGCAAGAGCUCAAAUUUGAAAGCUGGCCCCCUCGGGGUCCGCAUUGUAAUUUGCAGAGGAUG
rnacentral:rRNA from 1 species